UUGAACGCUGGCGGCAUGCUUUACACAUGCAAGUCGAACGGCAGCGCGGACUUCGGUCUGGCGGCGAGUGGCGAACGGGUGAGUAAUAUAUCGGAACGUACCCAAGAGUGGGGGAUAACGUAGCGAAAGUUACGCUAAUACCGCAUACGAUCCAAGGAUGAAAGUGGGGGACCGCAAGGCCUCAUGCUCCUGGAGCGGCCGAUAUCUGAUUAGCUAGUUGGUGAGGUAAAGGCUCACCAAGGCAACGAUCAGUAGCUGGUCUGAGAGGACGACCAGCCACACUGGGACUGAGACACGGCCCAGACUCCUACGGGAGGCAGCAGUGGGGAAUUUUGGACAAUGGGCGCAAGCCUGAUCCAGCAAUGCCGCGUGAGUGAAGAAGGCCUUCGGGUUGUAAAGCUCUUUUGUCAGGGAAGAAACGGUCGCGGCUAAUAUCCGCGGCUAAUGACGGUACCUGAAGAAUAAGCACCGGCUAACUACGU
rnacentral:rRNA from 1 species